rnacentral:lncRNA from 1 species
UCGUUUUCAGUGUGGUGAAGGUAGCAGAUCAAAUCUUAAAAUUGCUUCUCUAAAAUACUGGGAAUCUGCGAUCUUACAAAAAGGGAAAAAAAAAUAAAUAAAUAAAAAAUAAAGAGCAGAGGAAUGGUGUAGGAUUAGCAAGAUGAAGUAAGUAAUGUGGUUAAGCAUCAUUCAUCAUUGCUUUCCGAAAUGAUACAGCAAAUAGUUAGUAUGAGGGGAAUGUAGGUUCGUUAAGCAGAGAAGCAAGUGAAAACAAGAUGAUGAUUGUCUGCGCCAAUAGAAUUAGAAUUAGAAUUAGAGAGGAAGAAAGCGUUGCUGAUAUUGUUGUUGUUGUUGUUAUCGUUGGAAGAAGCUUCCUUGAUGUUCCUAUUAUGUGAAUUGGAGACUGCUUUCGCCGCCUUCUUCUCCAUUCUUCGCUUUGCCACGUACUCUUCUGAAAUAAAUACAUCCAUUCCUUUUAAAUGUUUUUGUUU